UGUGCCAGCAGCCGCGGUAAUACGUAGGGUCCAAGCGUUAAUCGGAAUUACUGGGCGUAAAGCGUGCGACGGGCGGUUGUGCAAGACCGAUGUGAAAUCCCCGAGACUUAACUUGGGAAUUGCAUUGGUGACUGCACGGCUAGAGUGUGUCAGAGGGGGGUAGAAUUCCACGUGUAGCAGUGAAAUGCGUAGAGAUGUGGAGGAAUACCGAUGGCGAAGGCAGCCCCCUGGGAUAACACUGACGCUCAUGCACGAAAGCGUGGGGAGCAAACAGGAUUAGAUACCCUGGUAGUCCACGCCCUAAACGAUGUCAACUAGUUGUUGGGGAUUCAUUUCCUUAGUAACGUAGCUAACGCGUGAAGUUGACCGCCUAGGGAGUACG
rnacentral:rRNA from 1 species